rnacentral:rRNA from 1 species
GGAUGCGAUGAUACCAGCACUAAAGCACCGGAUCCCAUCAAAACUCCGAAGUUAAGCGUGCUUGGGCGAGAAUAGUACAAGGAUGGGUGACCUCCUGGGAAGUCCUCGUGUUGCAUUCC